rnacentral:rRNA from 1 species
UACGAAGGGGGCUAGCGUUGCUCAGAAUUACUGGGCGUAAAGCGCACGUAGGCGGUCUUUUAAGUCGGGGGUGAAAUCCUGGAGCUCAACUCCAGAACUGCCUUCGAUACUGGAAGACUUGAGUCCGGGAGAGGUGAGUGGAACUGCGAGUGUAGAGGUGAAAUUCGUAGAUAUUCGCAAGAACACCAGUGGCGAAGGCGGCUCACUGGCCCGGUACUGACGCUGAGGUGCGAAAGCGUGGGGAGCAAACAGG